CUCUCUUCACUCUAUCUCUCCCACAUCUCUCUCACCUCUCUCUUCCUUCUUCCUUGGCAAGCACCGAAGGGUGCGACUGCCUUGAACCACCAUUACUCAUACCUCAUCGGCGAGCCACAUCACCAUCACCCCAGCUCGUCCCAUCUCUUUAUUCCUGAGCCUAUAACCCAAACUCGAACAACUCUCGGACCUCACAUUGGAGAAUAAUCGGAAAUGGAGAACUUCGGCAAGUUGUCGUCGUCCCCGACGAAGAAAUACCCUGAGAGUAACAAACCCAAUUUUUCGGCAGAGAUCUGGCCACUUUCGAGCCGUUUUCUAGUCAAUUCAGGCCAUGGUCGAGGAAACCAAAGGAUCUAUCGCGACGGUUGCAACGUCAACUGGUCAGAGAAGAAGAAGAAAAAAAAAAAGGAAGCCUAGAUCCGCAACCCAGAUCCAGAUCCGAACCCCGGAUUCGGCCCGGGCGAUCUCUGAAUUGGGCUUGGAAUAUUCCUUGUAAUGUUCUUUGAAUAUUCCUUGUGUUGACUUUUUCUAAAUUUUCUUGAUAACCCUUUUAGGCUAAUUUCGAUGUCCCUUUUUGACAUUCAUUUAGUGAAAUUUCGAAGUUUUAACAUAGUUGACCACUGGGCCGUUUGGUUGACUUUUUAGGGUUGACCGUCGAUUUUUUAUAAAAUUUGCCUAGGGCCCUUCUUAACAUAUUUCGACGUCCUGAUUUCAAAUCCGCACUCAAUUUUCCCAAAUUCAAACAUUUUAAUCAAGUUUUAACGGGUCCCAAUAUUAUACUUAGGUGUGAUUACUAUGGGAGACUUCGACUUUCCUAGUUCGAACGGCUGCGACAUCACAAGUAUCUGUGAGUGGGUCUUU